rnacentral:rRNA from 1 species
AUGGACAGCAGCGCCACGUCCCAUAUCGCCGGACCAAGUGGUACAAAUGUGGUGUUGGGCAAGUGGAUAUUUCGCCACAAAUUCAACCACGAUGGCUCGCUGGCACGCUACAAGGCUCGUUGGGUUCUUCGUGGCUUCACGCAACAGGCUGGUGUGGACUACGGCGAGACUUUCAGUCCCGUGGUCAAGCCCGCCACCAUUCAUACCGUCCUCAACAUCGCCACUAGCAGCUCGUGGCCCAUUCACCAACUCGACGUCAAGAAUGCCUUCCUCCAUGGGCAUCUCGUCGAGACGGUGUACACCGCGCAACCUGCCGGCUUCAUCGACUCCUCGCGGCCUCGGGACGUGUCGUCUCAACAGGUCGCUCUGCAGGCUGAAACAGGCCCCCCGGGCCUGGUUUUCACGGUUCACCGGCUACCUCCGCUCCCUCGGCCGUCCAAGGCCGACUCGUCACUCUUCACCUUGCAUCGCGGGGCUCACGCCACGUAUUUACUAUUGUACGUAGAUGACAUCAUUCUCGUUGCCUCUACACCCGCCUUCCUCCAGUCCAUCAUCGUCGUGCUCCACCGCGAAUUCUCUAGGACUGAUAUGGGCUCGCUCCACCACUUCUUAGGGAUCAACGUGCACCACCGCACCACUGUCCUCCACCUCUCCCAAGAACGGUAUGCCCUUGAGAUCCUCGAUCGCGCCGGCAUGUUAAACUGCAAACCCGCACCCACCCCCGUCGACACCACCUCCAAGCUGUCUACCACCGCCGGCUCACCCUUUCAUGAUCCUUUCCUUUAUCGCAGCCUUGCAGGGGCGUUGCACUAUCUCACCCUCACCCGGCCCGAUAUCUCCUACGUUGUUCAACAGUGUUGCUUGUUCAUGCACGAUCCCUGCGAAGCUCACUUCCAGAUGGUCAAGCGCGUUCUGCGCUACGUCCGCGGCACCACUCAUCUCGGCCUGCAGUUCUACAGAUCAUCCGGCGGCGACCUCACGGCGUACUCGGACGCUGACUGGGCGGGGUGCCCUGACACCCGCAAGUCAACCUCCGGGUUUGCCGUCUUCCUCGGCCACAAUCUGGUCAGCUGGUCCUCGAAGCGUUAG